CAACCCCAUCACCUUUGACCCUAAUCUUCACUUUCUCAGUCAGGGGCUUCAACAAUCUGUUUAAGAGCCUGUGAGUUUGGUGGAACAUUUUACUUUCCCAUUCUUGAUUGCAGGGCUGAUGCCUACCUUAAAGGCUGGUUUGAUGUUCAGCUGCGGUCUUUAGUGUCAAGACAGAUUACCUGACCUGCUGUAGCAGAAAUGGCUCCUAAUAGAUUUAACUGUAGGAAAUUGCUGAUAUUCAAUUGUUUAUCUACUCAAAUGCCUGUUUCAGCAAUUCUGUAAUUGCUAAAGCACAGCUCCUGCAUGCUGUUCAGAGUGCUGUAGGUCGCCCUAUAGCUCCUUUAUCUGUUCCCAGGGCUUUCACUCAUUUUGUAUUCUGAUACUAGAGGUGGGGAAAAGGAGAAGACAAAGCCCUUACAAAGUGGACUUAUGAGCCGGGCACAGUGGCUCAUGCCUGUAAUCCCAGCAUUUAGGAGGCCAAG
rnacentral:lncRNA from 1 species